rnacentral:lncRNA from 1 species
CUGGCUCCAAGAUAAACAGUACCUUCACAGACUCCAUGGCAGCUGCUGGAGAGAGCUGGAAUGUGUCAUCUUGCCCCAAGUCUGGUCUAAGCCUGGACACUUGAGCAUUUGCCUUGCUCACCCAUUGCCUCCCCUGGGCUGGAUGACCCACACAGAAGACUGGGCCUGUACUGGGAAGAAGCCCUUUCCACAUCAACCCACUUAGUGGAGACCCAAAGCUUCAAUUCCAACACCAGGAACCCCAGGGGAAGGAAGGACCUGAUUUCCCAAGAGACCUGGGUCUCUUUCUUCUUCCUGCGGCUCUGUCAACAGUGGCCUGGGGCCUGUGAAAGCGGGCCCUUCUCCCUGUCUAAUCCCAGGACCGGGUGGUAUGCUCAUCAUAUGAGGAGUAACUGCAAAGGAAGGUGACGCGAAUGUGCUCAAAGGAUGCCCAGAGCACUCUCGAAAUGGCCCUCAGAACCUGUGGCUUCGUCUUCUUAUAUCUUCACUAGGGAAGAGUCUUUAUCCUUUGAGGUUAAAGGAUAAUAUUUUUGAUAAUACCUAAAGCUCAUUCAGAAACAACCCUGCAGAGUAAAGCUGAAGGCCGGGCUGGGUGUGGCACUGAUGGAACCAGGCAAAGCAGAGGUGAAAGACAGCAGCAGAGGCGAGAAACACAUCCGACAGGGAGCACAAAAGGCAGUGUGAGACACCAGAUCUCUGGAG